rnacentral:rRNA from 1 species
ACGAACGUUGGCGGCGUGGAUUAGGCAUGCAAGUCGAACGCGAAAGGUCACUUCGGGUGAACGAGUAGAGUGGCGAACUGGUGAGUAACAGGUGGGUAAUGUGCCUCUUAGUGUGGGAUAACCUCUGGAAACAGUGGCUAAUACCUCAUGUGGCACGGAUAACGUUGGUUAACCGUGUUAAAGACUUCGGUCGCUAAGAGAGCAGCCCGCCCCCGAUUAGCUUGUUGGUAGGGUAACGGCCUACCAAGGCUCCGAUCGGUAGGUGGCCUGAGAGGGUGGUCACUCACACUGGAACUGAGAUACGGCCCAGACUCCUACGGGGGGCAGCAGUCUAGAAGCUUCCACAAUGGACGAAAGUCUGAUGGAGCGACGCCGCGUGUGGGAUGACAGCCGUGAGGUUGUAAACCACAGUCAGCAGGGAAGAAUGCCCCGAUGGUGAAUCGGGGAGAGACGGUACCUGCAGAGGAAGCCCCGGCUAACUCCGUGCCAGCAGCCGCGGUAAUACGGAGGGGGCAAACGUUGUUCGGAUUUACUGGGCGUAAAGGGUGUCUAGGCGGUUCGAUUAGUCUGGUGUGAAAUAUCCUCGCUCAACGAGGAAAGCGCAUUGGAAACUGUCGAGCUCGAGAGUGGAAGAGGCAGGUGGAAUUUCUGGUGUAGCGGUGGAAUGCGUAGAUAUCAGAAAGAACACUCGUGGCGAAGGCGGCCUGCUGGUCCAUUUCUGACGCUGAAGCACGAAAGCUAGGGGAGCGAACGGGAUUAGAUACCCCGGUAGUCCUAGCCGUAAACGUUGAACACUGGAUGUCGGGGGUAUCGACCCCCUCGGUGUCGGAGCUAACGCGUUAAGUGUUCCGCCUGGGGAGUACGACCGCAAGGUUGAAACUCAAAGGAAUUGACGGGGGCCCGCACAAGCGGUGGAGGAUGUGGUUUACUUCGACGCAACGCGAAGAACCUUACCUGGGCUUUAACCGCAGGGUAAACCCCUCUGAAACGAAGGCUGCUUCGCGCAUCCUGUGGAAGUUCUUGCCUUGGCUGUCCGUCAGCUCGUUGUCGUGAGAUGUUGGGUUUAGUUCCCGCAACGAGCGCCAACCCUUGCUCUUAGUUACCAGCGCGUAAUGUCGGGUACUCUAAGAGGACUGCCCUCGCUAGGGGGAGGAAGGUGGGGAUGACGUCAAGUCCUCAUGGCCCUUAUGUCCAGGGCUACACACGUCCUACAAUGGCCGGUACAAAGGUCUGCAAGCUCGCGAGAGUUAGCUAAUCCCAAAAAGCCGGUCCCAGUUCGGAUUGCAGUCUGCAACUCGACUGCAUGAAGGUGGAAUCGCUAGUAAUCGUGGAUCAGCAU